rnacentral:rRNA from 1 species
CGCUGGCGGCGUGCCUAACACAUGCAAGUCGAGCGGAGCCAUCUGAAUGAUCCCGUUCGGGAAGCGUUGGGAUAGCUUAGUGGCGGACGGGUGAGUAACGCGUGAGCAACCUGCCUCUGUGUGUGGAAUAACGUCUGGAAACGGACGCUAAUACCGCAUAAUGCAACGGAAUCGCAUGGUUCUGUUGCCAAAGAUUUAUUGCACAGAGAUGGGCUCGCGUCUGAUUAGAUAGUUGGUGGGGUAACGGCCUACCAAGUCGACGAUCAGUAGCCGGACUGAGAGGUUGAACGGCCACAUUGGGACUGAGACACGGCCCAGACUCCUACGGGAGGCAGCAGUGGGGAAUAUUGCGCAAUGGGGGAAACCCUGACGCAGCAACGCCGCGUGAAGGAAGAAGGCCUUCGGGUUGUAAACUUUUGUCUUCAGGGAAAAUAGUGAUGGUACCUGAGGAGGAAGCCACGGCUAACUACGUG